GACGAACGCUGGCGGCGUGCUUAACACAUGCAAGUCGAGCGGAGCGGCGAACGGGUGAGUAACGCGUGAGUAACUGCCCCCCUCUCUGGGAUAACAGUUGGAAACGGCUGCUAAUACCGGAUAGUGGGGGAUGACUCGCGUCCUAUCAGCUUGUUGGUGGGGUAGUGGACUACCAAGGCGACGACGGGUAGCCGGCCUGAGAGGGCGACCGGCCACAUUGGGAUGAUAUACGGCGCUAACGCCUACGGGAGGCAGCAGGGGGGAAUAGUGAACAAUGGGGGAAGCCCUGAUGCAGAAACGCCGCGUUCGGGAUGACGGCUUUCGGGUUGUAAACCGCUUUCAGCCAUGACGCGGUAUUGGCAGAAGAAGCACCGGCUAACUACGUGCCAGCAGGCGCGGUAAUUG
rnacentral:rRNA from 1 species